rnacentral:rRNA from 1 species
GACGAACGCUGGCGGCGUGCUUAACACAUGCAAGUCGAACGGAAAGGCCCUGCUUGCAGGGUGCUCGAGUGGCGAACGGGUGAGUAACACGUGGGUGAUCUGCCCCUUACUUUGGGAUAAGCCUGGGAAACUGGGUCUAAUACUGGAUAGGACCAUGCUGUAGGUGGUGUGGUGGAAAGAUUAGUUUCGGUAAGGGAUGAGCUCGCGGCCUAUCAGCUUGUUGGUGGGGUAAUGGCCUACCAAGGCGUCGACGGGUAGCCGGCCUGAGAGGGUGGACGGCCACAUUGGGACUGAGAUACGGCGCAGAAGCCUACGGGAGGCAGCAGUGGGGAAUAGUGCAAAAUGGGCGCAAGCCUGAUGCAGCGACGCCGCGUGGGGGAUGACGGCCUUCGGGUUGUAAACUCCUUUCAGCCAUGACGAAGCCCUUGUGGUGACGGUAGUGGUAGAAGAAGCACCGGCUAACUACGUG